CAGUAGCCGCGGGAAUACGGAGGGAGCUAGCGUUGUUCGGAAUCACUGGGCGUAAAGCGCACGUAGGCGGCUAUUCAAGUCAGGGGUGAAAGCCCGGGGCUCAACCCCGGAACUGCCUUUGAAACUAGAUAGCUUGAAUCUUGGAGAGGCGAGUGGAAUUCCGAGUGUAGAGGUGAAAUUCGUAGAUAUUCGCAAGAACACCAGUGGCGAAGGCGGCUCACUGGCCCGGAACUGACGCUGAGACGCGAAAGCGUGGGGAGCAAACAGGAUUAGAGACCCCAGUAGUCCCUGUCUCUUAUAC
rnacentral:rRNA from 1 species